AGUCACUGACAUUAGAUACCCGUGUAGUCCAGGGUGUAAACGCUGCAGACUUGGUGUUGGAAGCCCUUUGGGGCAUUCAGUGCCGGAGAGAAGUUGUUAAGUCUGCUACUUGGGGAGUACGUCCGCAAGGAUGAAACUUAAAGGAAUUGGCGGGGGAGCACCGCAACGGGAGGAGCGUGCGGUUUAAUUGGAUUCAACACCGUAAACUCACCAGGGAAGACUGUUACAUGAAGGCCGAGAUGAAGACUCUGCUAGAUUUUCAG
rnacentral:rRNA from 1 species